CAGCCGCCUGUUGAGGGCAGAUGAAGUGAAUAUGCGUAUCAAUACCUCCCGCCGUGAUGAUCUUGCCCUCUCCCGCCACCACAUCCGUACAACUUCCCACAAUCAUGCCCGGCGUAACACCGUCCAUUACAUCCGGGUUACCAGCUUUGCCAAUGCCCACAAUGACACCAGCCUUGACACCAAUAUCCGCCUUGUAGAUGCCCGUCCAAUCCACCACCAACGCGUUCGUCACCACCAUAUCCAGCGUCUCCUCAUCCGACCUACCCGUCGCCUGCCCCAUGCCCUCGCGCAG
rfam:Neurospora crassa OR74A linkage group I, whole genome shotgun sequence.